AGUAAAACCCUUCAAGGAAGUAGAAACAAAACCCAAACCAAUGAAGUUUGGCAGUUAAAAAUUCCUAGAGAAAUUUGUUUCCUAAUCGUAAAUACUCGUUAAAUUUAACUUUUAGUAAAAAUUUAUAUACCGCCGUUAUCAGAAAUAAUAAAAAUAAAAUAUCAAAAUAAAUAAACAUUAAAAAAUCAGGUCAAGGUAUAAUCAAUCCAAAAGUAGAAAUUAAUUACACAUAAAAAUAAUUUAGGAAAUUUAAAUAAAAAUAAUUAAGAAAAAGAAUCUAUAAACAAACACAAAUCAAAAAUUUAAACUGAAAUACCUUAUUUUAAUGC
rnacentral:rRNA from 1 species